CCAGGGGUAGUUUUUGUGAUAGAAAAGUAAAUGUAAACAAACAAUAGAUUUAGAAUGCAUUCGAAGAUUCGUGUAUUAUCAAAGGAAAAGUAAUUCAAAAUGUUUUCCAUGCCCAACAAAAAUUGGCGUUUACUUCCGAAUUUUAUUUAAUCCUAGUCCACAGACACAUACCAACAGUUGCUUCCAUAAAAAAAAAAACGAUUAAACAUUCAGCAACUUUUGUAAACAGUUUAAUAAUUGGUCUCUUACUAAAUUAAGUCAUUUCAGGAACUUCAGCAUGUUCUUCAGUAUAUCGAAACAGUGCCAACCCACCUGUGCCAAACUAUACAUGUUUACAACUGGAGUAAAUGUAGCAUGGAUCAACUUCCAGUGACCAACUUCCAGUGACCAACUUCCAGUGACCAACUUGUGGCUAGAGUCGAUACUUACAAGGGUAUUAGUUGCAAUGCUUCCUGACAUGGUAAAUUAUUCCAUAGCAGAAAUAGAUGCUAUGUGUUGAAAAGCUAAAGUGUUUUUUCACUGUGAUGGAGCCCAAGCUGUAGGUAAAAUUCCAAUUGAUGUUGAAUCGAUGUCAAUUGAUUUAUAAAGGUGUUGGUGCUCUUUACGUGAUAGGCCGACCACGGGUUAGGAUUGAAGCUCUGCAAAGUGGACGUGGUCAGGAAUGAGGGAUACGUGGUGGAACAGUUCCUACUCCACUGACAGAGUGACAGUUGGUUUUGGCGCAGCAUGUGA
rnacentral:lncRNA from 1 species